AAAAAAAAAAAGACUUUUAAUUUUUCAGGCAGCAGGAAGUGGCUCAUGGUAAUGUAAUCCAGCACUUUGGGAGGCCAAAGCAGGUGGAUCACCUUAGGUCAGGAGUUCAAGACCAGCCUGGCCAACAUGGUGAAACCCUGUCUCUACUAAAAAUAUAAAAAUUAGCCGGGCCUGCUGGUGCACUCCUGUAAUGCCAGCUACUCGGGAGGCUGAGGCAUGAGAAUUGCUUGAACCCAGGAGGCAGAGGUUGCAUGAGCCGAGAUUGCCUGGGCAACAGAAGGAGACUGCAUCUCAAAAAAAAAAAAAAGAAAAAAGACAUUUCAAAGGAGAAAAAAAAGGUAUUUAAUAGGAAGAGGGGGAGUAAAUUACCUGGUUGCACAGCUCUGGAGGGCACCAUUCACACUGUGUUCAAUAGCAAACCCAGCGAUCUUGGGUUGAAGGGGUAAGAGCCUCCAGGCACACUUCAAGAAACUGUUAAAAAACCGUUGUUUUGUCAUAUCCUUGGUUGCCACCACCCCCCUCCCCCAAUUUAGUUGUUACACACAAUACUCAAUUUGCAAAGCUGAUACAACUGGAUUCUCCAUUGUUUUUUGUAAGAAACUGUAUCAGUUCAACUAACACAGAUACUUUUUUUGGGGUGAGGGAAGCGGGGAGGGGGAGGCAGGGGCAGAGUCUUGCGCUGUCACCCAGGCACCCAGGCUGGAGUGCAGUGGUACAAUCUCAGCUCACUUCAGCCUCUGCUUCCUGGGUUCAAGGAUUCUAGUGCCUCAGCCUCCUGAGUAGCUGGGACUACAGGUGGAUGCCACCAUGCCUGGCAAAUUUUUUGUGUUUUAGUAAAGAUGGAGUUUCACCGUGUUGCCCAGGCUGGUCUUGAACUCCUGAGCUCAGGCAAUCCACCCAAUCCACCCACCUUGGCCUCACAAAGUGUAGGAUUACAGGCAUGAGCCACCAUGCCCGGCUUAACUAACACAGAUACUUUUUAACAACACAACCACUUUCUAAGUUCAUUACCCUUUGAAACAAAACAAAACAAAACUCAGCUACACCAUUUCUAAACAAAAGUGAAAAAUAAUUGAAGACCCAGUUAGCUAAGAAAGCCACCAAAAGAGUUGGAACAAAAGGCUCUCUCCAAAUGGCUAUGAAUUUAAGCCUUUAUAAUUGAUAAAGAACAUAUGAAUUCAGAAAGAAAAACGUGCAGUUUAUGGUUUGAUGUAGCAUUAACCCUGGAAGUUGCUCUCAGAUCUUAAAACGCUUCAAACUCUUCUGUUACUUUUACAUAUGAAGAUAGCGACAUAUUUGAUGAUGGCUAAGAAAACAUCUGGCAGAGCCAUAUUAACAAGGGAAUAGUUUGUUUUAUGAUAGAAGAGGAAGCUUCUGUUCUCGGCUAAGAGCCAUGUCCUCAGAUACCAUGGCAAUAAAUGGAAAGCUUGUCAGUAAGUGGUUGCCUCUUUGUCUUAAAUUUUUAAGCAGUUUAGUAGUUAGCUCCAAAUUAGGAAAUUAACUGGCAAUCAAAGCAUUGGAGCAGGAAAACCCAUUAUAGCUCUUCCAAAUCUCCAAAAAAAAAAAAAAAAA
rnacentral:lncRNA from 1 species